GACGGACAACCCCAGGCUGACUAACAUGAUGAGGUAUCACCUCCAGAGAAGUCCCCUCCGGUUGGAGGGGCUCCGCCUCGCUACUAGCUUUCCGGUGCCUUGCAGGAAAUGCCGAACCCCACCCUUCCAUGGAUCCCGUCGUGAUCUACAACAAACAUUGAAACAUAAUACGCACCCCUUACUGCGCCGCGUCUGUUUCCCGGAUAAACUACUUGGAGCUGAUUGAAUUGUGCUAUCCGUCCUUUGAGGUCCCCUCCGAACGCCAAGAGAGCCUAGCCACGAAAACCCGUUCGAUGGUACCGAACUAGUAUUAUAUGGCCUGUAUCUCUCUCCCAACAUCCGGCUGGAACAAACCCCCCAGAACUUCCUGCGAAGUUGACCCCUCC
rnacentral:lncRNA from 1 species